rnacentral:rRNA from 1 species
AGUGAACGCUGGCGGUAGGCCUAACACAUGCAAGUCGAACGGCAGCACAGUAAGAGCUUGCUCUUACGGGUGGCGAGUGGCGGACGUGUGAGGAAUACAUCGGAAUCUACUUUUUCGUGGGGGAUAACGUAGGGAAACUUACGCUAAUACCGCAUACGACCUACGGGUGAAAGCAGGGGAUCUUCGGACCUUGCGCGUUUGAAUGAGCCGAUGUCGGAUUAGCUAGUUGGCGGGGUAAAGGCCCACCAAGGCGACGAUCCGUAGCUGGUCUGAGAGGAUGAUCAGCCACACUGGAACUGAGACACGGUCCAGACUCCUACGGGAGGCAGCAGUGGGGAAUAUUGGACAAUGGGCGAAAGCCUGAUCCAGCCAUACCGCGUGGGUGAAGAAGGCCUUCGGGUUGUAAAGCCCUUUUGUUGGGAAAGAAAAGCAGCAGGUUAAUACCCCGCUGUUAUGACGGUACCCAAAGAAUAAGCACCGGCUAACUUCGUG